AUGAACGCUAGCUACAGGCUUAACACAUGCAAGUCGAGGGGCAGCAUUUUAGUUUGCUUGCAAACUAAAGAUGGCGACCGGCGCACGGGUGAGUAACACGUAUCCAACCUGCCGAUAACUCGGGGAUAGCCUUUCGAAAGAAAGAUUAAUAUCCGAUAGUAUAUUAAAACCGCAUGGUUUUACUAUUAAAGAAUUUCGGUUAUCGAUGGGGAUGCGUUCCAUUAGUUUGUUGGCGGGGUAACGGCCCACCAAGACUACGAUGGAUAGGGGUUCUGAGAGGAAGGUCCCCCACAUUGGAACUGAGACACGGUCCAAACUCCUACGGGAGGCAGCAGUGAGGAAUAUUGGUCAAUGGACGAGAGUCUGAACCAGCCAAGUAGCGUGAAGGAUGACUGCCCUAUGGGUUGUAAACUUCUUUUAUAUGGGAAUAAAGUAUUCCACGUGUGGGAUUUUGUAUGUACCAUAUGAAUAAGGAUCGGCUAACUCCGUGCCAGCAGCCGCGGUAAUACGGAGGAUCCGAGCGUUAUCCGGAUUUAUUGGGUUUAAAGGGAGCGUAGGUGGAUUGUUAAGUCAGUUGUGAAAGUUUGCGGCUCAACCGUAAAAUUGCAGUUGAAACUGGCAGUCUUGAGUACAGUAGAGGUGGGCGGAAUUCGUGGUGUAGCGGUGAAAUGCUUAGAUAUCACGAAGAACUCCGAUUGCGAAGGCAGCUCACUAGACUGCAACUGACACUGAUGCUCGAAAGUGUGGGUAUCAAACAGGAUUAGAUACCCUGGUAGUCCACACAGUAAACGAUGAAUACUCGCUGUUUGCGAUAUACAGUAAGCGGCCAAGCGAAAGCAUUAAGUAUUCCACCUGGGGAGUACGCCGGCAACGGUGAAACUCAAAGGAAUUGACGGGGGCCCGCACAAGCGGAGGAACAUGUGGUUUAAUUCGAUGAUACGCGAGGAACCUUACCCGGGCUUAAAUUGCAUUUGAAUAAUCUGGAAACAGGUUAGCCGCAAGGCAAAUGUGAAGGUGCUGCAUGGUUGUCGUCAGCUCGUGCCGUGAGGUGUCGGCUUAAGUGCCAUAACGAGCGCAACCCUUAUCUUUAGUUACUAACAGGUCAUGCUGAGGACUCUAGAGAGACUGGCGUCGUAAGUUGUGAUGAAGGUGGGGAUGACGUCAAAUCAGCACGGCCCUUACGUCCGGGGCUACACACGUGUUACAAUGGGGGGUACAGAAGGCAGCUACCUGGCGACAGGAUGCUAAUCCCAAAAACCUCUCUCAGUUCGGAUCGAAGUCUGCAACCCGACUUCGUGAAGCUGGAUUCGCUAGUAAUCGCGCAUCAGCCAUGGCGCGGUGAAUACGUUCCCGGGCCUUGUACACACCGCCCGUCAAGCCAUGAAAGCCGGGGGUACCUGAAGUACGUAACCGCAAGGAGCGUCCUAGGGUAAAACUGGUAAUUGGGGCU
rnacentral:rRNA from 1 species